CGGACGGGUGAGUAAUGCGUAGGAAUUUACCUCAAAGCGGGGGAUAGCCCGGAGAAAUCCGGAUUAAUACCGCAUGUGCUCUACGGAGUCAAGCGGGCCUCUUCUUGAAAGCUCGCACUUUGAGAUAAGCCUACGUCGGAUUAGCUUGUUGGUAGGGUAAAAGCCUACCAAGGCGACGAUCCGUAGCUGGUUUGAGAGGAUGAUCAGCCACACUGGGACUGAGACACGGCCCAG
rnacentral:rRNA from 1 species